rnacentral:rRNA from 1 species
AGCUUGGCGCGUGCUAUAAUGCAGUCGAGCGAAUGGAUUAAGAGCUUGCUCUUAUGAAGUUAGCGGCGGACGGGUGAGUAACACGUGGGUAACCUGCCCAUAAGACUGGGAUAACUCCGGGAAACCGGGGCUAAUACCGGAUAACAUUUUGAACCGCAUGGUUCGAAAUUGAAAGGCGGCUUCGGCUGUCACUUAUGGAUGGACCCGCGUCGCAUUAGCUAGUUGGUGAGGUAACGGCUCACCAAGGCAACGAUGCGUAGCCGACCUGAGAGGGUGAUCGGCCACACUGGGACUGAGACACGGCCCAGACUCCUACGGGAGGCAGCAGUAGGGAAUCUUCCGCAAUGGACGAAAGUCUGACGGAGCAACGCCGCGUGAGUGAUGAAGGCUUUCGGGUCGUAAAACUCUGUUGUUAGGGAAGAACAAGUGCUAGUUGAAUAAGCUGGCACCUUGACGGUACCUAACCAGAAAGCCACGGCUAACUACGUGCCAGCAGCCGCGGUAAUACGUAGGUGGCAAGCGUUAUCCGGAAUCAUUGGGCGUAAAGCGCGCGCAGGUGGUUUCUUAAGUCUGAUGUGAAAGCCCACGGCUCAACCGUGGAGGGUCAUUGGAAACUGGGAGACUCGAGUG